rnacentral:sRNA from 1 species
AGACUGCUCAUCGAUGCCGUUAGCUAUGC